rnacentral:tRNA from 1 species
GGAGCGGUGGUCUAGUGGCUAUGGCACUCUGUCUUGUAAACGGCAGAGAGAUCGGUGGUUCGAGUCCACCCCGCUCCG